ACCCCCCCUCCACUUCCUCUACUACAAGAACAAGGCAGCCGACUACUUCAUCCUCAUCCUGCAGGGCAAGGUGGAGGUGGAGGCCGGCAACGAAUGCAUGAAGUUUGAAGCGGGAGCUUUCUCCUAUUAUGGGGUGAUGGCCCUCAGCCCCUCGCCCGUAUCCGAGAUCCGCUCCCCGUCCCACGUCAGCAGCCUGAA